rnacentral:rRNA from 1 species
AACGAACGCUGGCGGCAUGCCUAACACAUGCAAGUCGAACGAGACCUUCGGGUCUAGUGGCGCACGGGUGCGUAACGCGUGGGAAUCUGCCCUUCGGUUGGGAAUAACUGAGAGAAAUUUCAGCUAAUACCUUAUAAUGUCUUCGGACCAAAGAUUUAUCGCCGAGGGAUGAGCCCGCGUAGGAUUAGGUAGUUGGUGGGGUAAUGGCCUACCAAGCGGACGAUCUUUAGCUGGUCUGAGAGGAUGAUCAGCCACACUGGGACUGAGACACGGCCCAGACUCCUACGGGAGGCAGCAGUGGGGAAUAUUGGACAAUGGGCGAAAGCCUGAUCCAGCAAUGCCGCGUGAGUGAUGAAGGCCUUAGGGUUGUAAAGCUCUUUUACCCGGGAUGAUAAUGACAGUACCGGGAGAAUAAGCUCCGGCUAACUCCGUG